rnacentral:pre_miRNA from 1 species
AGUGGGAUAGCUGGGUCAGAUGGUGGUUCCAUUCCCAGUUUUCCAAGGAAUCUCCAUACUGCUUUCCAGAUUGGCUGCAACAUUUGAAGUCCCACCAGCAAU